UGAGAUGGGGUCGCGGCCCAUUAGGUAGACGGUGAGGUAGUGGCUCACCGUGCCUGCGAUGGGUAGCCGGACUGAGAGGUCGAUCGGCCACAUUGGGACUGAGAUACGGCCCAGACUCCUACGGGAGGCAGCAGUGGGGAAUAUUGCGCAAUGGGGGAAACCCUGACGCAGCAACGCCGCGUGCGGGAUGAAGGCUUUCGGGUUGUAAACCGCUUUCAGCAGGGAAGAUAAUGACGGUACCUGCAGAAGAAGCCCCGGCUAACUACGUGCCAGCAGCCGCGGUAAUACGUAGGGGGCAAGCGUUAUCCGGAUUCAUUGGGCGUAAAGCGCGCGCAGGCGGGCCGCUAAGCGGGACCUCUAAUCUUGGGGCUCAACCUCAAGCCGGGUCCCGAACUGGCAGCCUCGAGUGCGGUAGGGGUAAGCGGAAUUCCCGGUGUAGCGGUGGAAUGCGCAGAUAUCGGGAAGAACACCGAUGGCGAAGGCAGCUUACUGGGCCGACACUGACGCUGAGGCGCGAAAGCUAGGGGAGCGAACAGGAUUAGAUACCCUGGUAGUCCUAGCCGUAAACGAUGAACACUAGGUGUGGGAGAGAUAACUCUUCC
rnacentral:rRNA from 1 species